UGAUUAUGACGUACUUGUACUGAUUGAGAUUUUAACACGAAGUGAGUGGCGAACGGGUGAGUAACACGUGGGUAACCUGCCCAGAAGUAGGGGAUAACACCUGGAAACAGAUGCUAAUACCGUAUAACAGAGAAAACCGCAUGGUUUUCUUUUAAAAGAUGGCUCUGCUAUCACUUCUGGAUGGACCCGCGGCGUAUUAGCUAGUUGGUGAGGUAAAGGCUCACCAAGGCAGUGAUACGUAGCCGACCUGAGAGGGUAAUCGGCCACAUUGGGACUGAGACACGGCCCAGACUCCUACGGGAGGCAGCAGUAGGGAAUCUUCCACAAUGGACGCAAGUCUGAUGGAGCAACGCCGCGUGAGUGAAGAAGGGUUUCGGCUCGUAAAGCUCUGUUGUUAAAGAAGAACGUGGGUAAGAGUAACUGUUUACCCAGUGACGGUAUUUAACCAGAAAGCCACGGCUAACUACGUGCCAGCAGCCGCGGUAAUACGUAGGUGGCAAGCGUUAUCCGGAUUUAUUGGGCGUAAAGCGAGCGCAGGCGGUCUUUUAAGUCUAAUGUGAAAGCCUUCGGCUCAACCGA
rnacentral:rRNA from 1 species